rnacentral:lncRNA from 1 species
UCGGGGACUGGACUAGCCACAAGGUGUGGUAAACCAGUAUACAUCUCUGCCUCCUUUACUUUCCUGCACUUGUUAAAUUCCUGCAGUAUUUUUAUAUUUCUGAAACAUAGAUUUUUAAUUCCGCAUAAUUUCUGUAAAACGCUAUUCACCCCCCCUCUAGCGUUGUUCACGGUUCCUAACAGGGAAUGCCUAAAACCUUCUCCCGAGUUAACAGAAUCCCUUACACGGAUUUCUGAUUCGCGGACUGUUAAACAGAGUCAUUCUUUUCCUUGAUUCAGGAUUCUAAACCUAUGAAUUGGGACACCAUAAAUCUCCCAAGUGGAGCCUCUGAAUCUUUUAAAUAAAUUUCAUUUCGAUUGUGCUUAAAUUGAAAAAACUCUCUUAUCUACGCCCUUUGCGGGGUUGUAGAUAUAAAAAAGGAGGUAUGAUAUGGCCUAUGUCUGCUUUCUUCGCAAAUGCGAACAAUGUUCACAUUUUGGUCCCUGUUGAAGUCACAUUUGAGACAUAAGCCUUGCAAAUGCGAGGAUUCCUUCCCCAUUCCGUCAUUGCUAUUGCGAUAGGUCUUUCGCAAUUGCGAGCCAGGCUUCGCAAUGAAGUCUGCAAUAUACCUGCAGUUUGCCUAAGUCAAAUUUCAUUCCUCCUAUUCAAAAAUCACUCGAGCCCUCAGGACUCCAAAUCAAACAUGUACGCAAGUCCAAAAAUAUCAUAUGGAUUUGCUCGUGCGAUCAAAUCAUUAAAAUAAUAUCAAUAACUAUGAAUUUAGCAUCAAAAUCAAGGAAAAAUAUCAUGAACUCUUAAGUUCAAAUUUUAACAACCGAAGGUCCGAUUCACGUUAUUUCAGGUCUGUUUCUUAUCAAAUUUUAUAGGCUCGACAUAAAUCCCAUAUAAGACAGGUACCGAGCUCCGGAACCAAAAUACAGUCCCGAUACCAUAAAAUUCAAACAUAUUUAAAUUUCUGAAAACUUUUAAAAUUUUAGUUAAAUAAUUUUUUUCCAAAAAUUCAUUUCUCGGGCUUGGGACCUAAGAUUUCGAUUUCGGGCAUAUUCACAAGUCCCAUAUUUUCCUACGGACCUUCUGGGACUGUCAAAUCACAAGUCCGAGUUCGUUUACCUAUAAUAUGCACCUAAGUCAACUUAAAUUUAUUUUAAAGGUAAAAUUCAUCAUUUUUCACAAAUUUUUACAUAAUGGCUUUUAGGAUACACGCCCGAAUUAUGCAUGCAAAUUGAGGUGAGACAAAGGAGGUCUUAAGAAUUCGGAACAAAAAAUUUUAUUUCUAAAAGGUCAUCACUGUAGUACUUUCCUCUGAGUGCUUGAGUAAUGAAUAAAAUAGCAGACUUUCUGACACCUAAGCUCAUGGUUGUGACUUUGUGUAUAGAUUAUUCUUAUUUUGUCGUUCGUUAUGACCCUGUCUGUCUUAUAGUGGAGUUGAUUCAUCUUGAUUAAUACUUGUGUCAUGUGGGGUGAGGAUUUCUUACAUAUAUUUCAUAUUUUGUAUCUUUGUCUAGAACUUGCCAUGCAUGUUAUUGAAUCGAAAGAAAAGUGUUGCUCUAUUUAGAAGAUGAUAAUAGACUUUCUUUAAUGUCAUAUGAAUUUUAGCCUUUUCAGAUAUUGUACCACUGGAUAGCCCUUUGAGCCUAU